CAGUCGCCGCGGUAAAACGUAGGUCCCGAGCGUUGUCCGGAUUUAUUGGGCGUAAAGCGAGCGCAGGCGGUUAGAUAAGUCUGAUGUGAAAGCCCCCGGCUCAACCGGGGAGGGUCAUUGGAAACUGGGAAACUUGAGUGCAGAAGAGGAGAGUGGAAUUCCACGUGUAGCGGUGAAAUGCGUAGAGAUGUGGAGGAACACCAGUGGCGAAGGCGACUCUCUGGUCUGUAACUGACGCUGAGGAGCGAAAGCGUGGGGAGCGAACAGGAUUAGAUACCCGGGUAGUCCCUGUCUCUUAUAC
rnacentral:rRNA from 1 species